rnacentral:rRNA from 1 species
CAAUAGCGUAUACUAAAGUUGUUGCAGUUAAAAAGCUCGUAGUUGAAUUUCUGGUUGUGAAAGACGGUCCAUUCCUCAAGGAAUGCGUUACUAUUCAUUCAUGGCCAUCCUCGGGGAGAAUGUGUGUUACUUUCAGUAGUCGCGCACAGGAACCCCGUCAUUUACUGUGAGCAAAUUAGAGUGUUUAAAGCAGGCUUAUGCCGUUGAAUACAUUAGCAUGGAAUAAUAAGAUAGGACUUUGGCGUCUAUUUUGUUGGUUUGCACACCAAGGUAAUGAUUAAUAGGGAUAGUUGGGGGUAUUCGUAUUUAAUUGUCAGAGGUGAAAUUCUUGGAUUUAUGAAAGACGAACUUCUGCGAAAGCAUUUACCAAAGAUGUUUUCAUUAAUCAAGAACGAAAGUUAGGGGAUCGAAGAUGAUCAGAUACCA